CAGGCUUCGUUACUCUCUACAUCCGGGGCAUUCGUGGCUGUCUGUGAGCUCUCUUCAGCGAGGCAAUUUUCUUUUGGAGGGAAGCUGUGCAAGUGCGGACAGACACUACGCAUGCUCAGAAGCUCUUCUAAUGAAUGUGGGAUGGCGAGGGAUGAGAGCUUGGUAAAAAGCAGUGAGAUUGAGAAUCGAGCUACAUCCGAAUACUUAUCUUAGAUGUUGAGGAAAACCAGGAGAUGGAGCAGACAAUCCUAGGAAUAUUUGCCAUAAAGCAGGAAGGUGCAGAACCCACAGAUGAGGUGGAGGAUGUUAGAAUUAUCAUUGAAGGUGUGGAGGUGCUUCGUGACCUUGGUAACAUUGCAAAUGCAGUCGCCAUUUUAUUUGGCCUCAUGUACUCCCUGGACUUGAGCUACCCAACAAAAAGUACACAUUUGAGGUUCUACAAAAAGUUGUGAUGGAACUGGAUGGCAGACAUCUCUCAAGAAAGGCUCAAAAACAAACUGUUUGAAGGGACAGUGUAAACAUCACAUUGCAAGUUGCAAUGAAGGCUUGGAGCUAAAAAAAAAAAAAAAAAAAAAUGUUGGAUCCAUAUGUUGAACUGUUAUGUGUUGUAGGGAGUGGCAUGGUCUUAGUUUCUAAUGAUUGAUGUCUGAAUGUUUUAACAGACUUUAGAAUGUUCAUAAAAGAGAGCGAGGAUAAG